GGGGGUAUAGAUCAGUGGUAGAAUGCAUGCUUAGCAUGCACGAGGUCCUAGGUUAAAUCCUCAGUACCUCCA
rfam:Camelus ferus unplaced genomic scaffold scaffold878, whole genome shotgun sequence.